AUGUGCUGUGAGCUCGAUGAGUAGGGCGGGACACGUGGUAUCCUGUCUGAAUAUGGGGGGACCAUCCUCCAAGGCUAAAUACUCCUGACUGACCGAUAGUGAACCAGUACCGUGAGGGAAAGGCGAAAAGAACCCCGGCGAGGGGAGUGAAAAAGAACCUGAAACCGUGUACGUACAAGCAGUGGGAGCACAGGUUUACCUGUGUGACUGCGUACCUUUUGUAUAAUGGGUCAGCGACUUAUAUUCUGUAGCAAGGUUAACCGAAUAGGGGAGCCGGAGGGAAACCGAGUCUUAAUUGGGCGUUAAGUUGCAGGGUAUAGACCCGAAACCCGGUGAUCUAGCCAUGGGCAGGUUGAAGGUUGGGUAACACUAACUGGAGGACCGAACCGACUAAUGUUGAAAAAUUAGCGGAUGACCUGUGGCUGGGGGUGAAAGGCCAAUCAAACCGGGAGAUAGCUGGUUCUCCCCGAAAGCUAUUUAGGUAGCGCCUCGUGAAUUCAUCUCCGGGGGUAGAGCACUGUUUCGGCUAGGGGGCCAUCCCGGCUUACCAACCCGAUGCAAACUGCGAAUACCGGAGAAUGUUAUCACGGGAGACACACGGCGGGUGCUAACGUCCGUCGUGAAGAGGGAAACAACCCAGACCGCCAGCUAAGGUCCCAAAGUCAUGGUUAAGUGGGAAACGAUGUGGGAAGGCCCAGACAGCCAGGAUGUUGGCUUAGAAGCAGCCAUCAUUUAAAGAAAGCGUAAUAGCUCACUGGUCGAGUCGGCCUGCGCGGAAGAUGUAACGGGGCUAAACCAUGCACCGAAGCUGCGGCAGCGAACGUAUCACUUAAAGCGAUUCAGCGGGUUACGAUUGACGGAGCGAAGCGACGUCAAAGCGUAUACAAAGUCGAGUCGGUUUAAGGAUA
rnacentral:rRNA from 1 species